AUGAGUUGAUAUUUGUGAUUCCAUAAGCAUGUACCAUUUGGUUUUGCUUUCUAUUUCAAACUCAACAUGGUUGUGCAUCAAAUUUCGAAAGCUGCUGGUCCCUCCAAGCAUAUGAUUCGUACAUGAGGCUGAUAUGGCAAAGGGUAAGUACGUGUAUGCUUUUUAUUUGUCUCACCAACUCAUUUUUAGAUGAUGUUUCUGAUAUAAUGUUUUCCUACGAUGGUAUGCAUGUCGAAACUUUGAACGAGUUUGAGCUAGAGCUGUUAAUUUCAACAGCAAUGGAGCUGCUGCCAAUGUCAGAGAUCUGACACCAUGACCUUACUGGGAUUCACUGGUGAUUCCUUUAACAAUGAAACAGCUUUAUGAUUCCAAGAUGAAGGGUUGAGUAGUAUCCACAACAGAAGCGAAUAAGGAAUUACCAGGUAUAUGAAUGGAGAAUUCAUUUUGGAGAUAUGAGCAGUGAUCUGUGCUUGUCCAGCCAUCGGAUUUGGGUUGGAAAAAGAAAAACAACAGAGAUAGCAGAGUCCUGUAAUAUUGACAACCACAAGGCUUACAGAACUUGAGAGUUUCCCUCAAGAAAAGACUAACAGAUAUUGAAUAUCAUUGCUUCAUAAAGGUUUUGCAUUUCAUUGGUUGCUUAAGUUGGGUCUACAGAUAUGAAAUCUGCAGAUGAUGGCUGGAGGAAUAUUGUUGUGAGUAGAGGAAUUCUCUUCUCUGGGUGAUUUGGUUGAGCUGUGUUUCGGUCUGAUUUUGGUUUCUUUUUUUGGCUUUGUGUUCUCGUUUAGCUUUUGUAUUUGUGUGGUAGGUUGUGGCACAUCUUUGUUGUAAUGGAUGUACUGCUGGUGCAUCUUUGUUCUUCAUAUUUUGAUCUAAUAAAAUCACUCAAUUAGUUGAUGGCAAGCUACAACAUUCUGCUAGAAGAGGUUCUGAGUAAUCCAAAUUCACCAACAGCUGCUCAUCUUAUUAUUACAAGGGUGUUUGAUAUGUCAGCUUGUGUUCAUGGUAUGACGAACUGGAUCAUGGAGAGUUUGACAAUAUGAACAAGGCAGAAGGAGGCAAGUUGCGAUAUUUGGAUGCCAG
rnacentral:lncRNA from 1 species